GACGUAGGGCGCGAGCGUUGUCCGGAUUUAUUGGGCGUAAAGAGCUCGUAGGCGGCUUGUCGCGUCGACUGUGAAAUCCCGCGGCUCAACUGCGGGUCUGCAGUCGAUACGGGCAGGCUAGAGUUCGGUAGGGGAGACUGGAAUUCCUGGUGUAGCGGUGAAAUGCGCAGAUAUCAGGAGGAACACCAAUUGCGAAGGCAGCUCGCUGGGACGUUUACUGACGCUGAGACGCGAAAAGCGUGGGGAGCGAACAGG
rnacentral:rRNA from 1 species